GGUCAUGUUGUGGGCUGGAGGAUUCGCAAAGGUUUAUAUGGUGGCAGGGGACUCAGAAUUCUUUCAGACUAUCACAUUAUAAGGAGGUUGUGGUAUUAUAGGAUUGUAUUUUCAAUGCUGUGGAGGAAUAUUUUGAUAGUUAUACAUCUGCAUUUCAAUCUCUAUCCUGCUUCAAAAGACUGAUUGCAAAUAUGUUUUCCAACUGCCAAGCGAGC